CGGGGCGUGGCGCAGUCUGGUAGCGCGCCGGCUUUGGGUGCCGGAAGUCGUAGGUUCGAAUCCUAUCGCCCCGA
rnacentral:tRNA from 3 species